CCCUGACAGAUGCUCGCUAACACAACUUGAGAACUGAAACUACAUUUUCUUAUUGGAAAUAGUGAAAAUUAUGCAGAUUUAUCAUUUCUUCCCAGCUGACAAAGUCAAAAGAUCUUCCUGCGUAUCUUCUUUAUCGAUGGUUCUACUAAAGGAAACCUGAAUUUGCUUUCAUAGAGAAGAACUUAAUAAUCCAGAUCUCCUGGAUUGGAAAAAUCUUGAACUUCUGAGGGAGCAGCAUCUCAUCUGUAUUACCUCCCUGCUGUUCCUGGACAAAUCUUCUCCCAGACCUAUCUGAAAUUCAUGGAAAACACUUCAUACCCCAUGGAUAUUGUACUUGAAAAGGACAUAUAGGCACAUUGGAAUAAGAUCAAGCACCUCUCUUCUCUUCGUUCUAACGGGACACUUGAAAAAUUCCAUUCUAAUUUUUUCUGGCCUGGUAAAAUGGAAUAUUGUCAUUUGGAACUUCCUUGGGUACUGUCAUUUUUUCUUAUAUAUUAUGAGGUUGUACUACCAAUCUUACAAUUUUAAACCACAAGGAAUGUUAAGACAGGAGUCAGUAUCACUGCAUAUGUCAUAAGCAUUUUCUCCUGGUUUGACUUCUUUUAGAUGGGUUGGAAAGCCCCACAUGGGCUUGGAAAACUAUCUGAGAUGUUUCCUAUUUGUGGCCUGGAUAAAGUGGAGAAGAAGAAAACUUAGUCCAAAGAGAGGGGUGAGUUGUUAAGUAAG